UCGUUUGUUUCUAUUCUAACUGCUAGAAAGUAAUAAUGCACAUCCUUUGAAGUAACUUUUUUUUAUGAAAACAUAUCACAAAAUAAAUUGUAUAAAAAUAUUUAAAUCUCAUUCUGAUAUGUUAAAUUUUCAAUUCGAAAAUAAAUUGUCCUUUGUUCUUUACAAUGGUCGACCUUGUUAUUAUUGGAUUUGAUCUGUAAGCAUUAAUCAUUAACGUGUCAGCAAAAUUGGAAAAAAUGGUAUUUUAUGGUUUGGUAUUUUUUGGUCAAAUUUCUAUUAUCGCAAUCAUGUCGAGUUUUACUGAAUAAAGAUUCGAAUGCACCCUAAA